AAGUCGUAACAAGGUUUCCGUAGGUGAACCUGCGGAAGGAUCAUUAUUGAAAACUUAGUUCAAUGGGGACGCCGUCAAGAGGAGGAAACUUCUCUCGGGUCCCUUGUGAUCUUAUCCACCCUUCGUGAACUGGACCCAAACAUUUUCUUUUUAAACGCUAAGAAACAUGUUGUGAAUGGGCUCGUAAUUGAAUAAACAAGUAAACAACUUUCAGCAACGGAUCUCUUGGCUCUC
rnacentral:misc_RNA from 1 species